AACCCAACACACUCUCGCAUUCAUUUAUUCGAAGCCCUCAACCUCCAAACCCUCUCUUCCUUCUUUCUUCCUUUUUUCUUCUCCGUUCCCAAAUCAAACCUAAAUUCCCACCUUCUUCCCUCUCACCAAAUCGCCAACACACUAUUCAUUUUUAUUUAUUCAUAUAUACCUACAGAGGGAGAGAGGGGGAAUGGAUUCGGAUCAGGGAAAAUUAUUCAUCGGUGGGAUAUCGUGGGACACUACGGAGGACAAGCUCAAGGAGCAUUUCGGUAACUACGGCGACGUUUUGAGCACUUCUGUUAUGCGAGAGAAGAACACUGGCAAGCCCAGGGGCUUUGGUUUCGUCGUCUUCGCGGAUCCCACCAUUCUCGAUAGGGUUCUCGAGGAUAAACAUGUCAUAGAUGGCAGAACGGUUGAUGCCAAAAAGGCUUUCUCAAGAGAGGAUCAACAAAUUUCUGUCACCUCGAGAGGUGGAAAUUCCAAUUCUGGCAUGAAUUCUGGAAAUGGAGGAAACAUCAGAACUAAAAAGAUAUUUGUUGGAGGGCUGCCUCCUACCCUGACUGAAGAAAAAUUUCGCCAGUACUUUGAGUCUUAUGGACAUGUAACCGAUGUAGUAGUCAUGUAUGACCAGAAUACUGGACGGCCACGAGGAUUUGGUUUUAUUUCAUUUGAUACUGAGGAGGCUGUUGAUAGGGUAUUGCAUAAAUCAUUUCAUGAUUUAAAUGGUAAACAAGUUGAGGUAAAGCGUGCACUUCCCAAGGAUGCCAAUCCUGGUGCAAGUGGCCGUAUGAUGGGUGGUGCUGGAGGUGGUGGUUCUGGAAUUGGUGGGUAUCAAGGGUAUGGGGCAUCUGGUGGUAACCAAAAUGCAUAUGAUGGGCGAAUGGAUUCUAGUAGGUAUAUGCAGCCUCAAAGCGCUGCAGGUGGAUUCCCUCCUUAUGGUUCUUCUGCCUACAGUGCUCCUGGGUAUGGAUAUGGUCCGGCUAAUAAUGGUAUUGGGUAUGGUGCAUAUGGAAGUUAUGGUGGUGCCACUGCAGGGUAUGGUGGACCUGCUGGUGCAACAUAUGGGAAUCCUAAUGUUCCUAAUGCUGCUUAUGCUGGUGGUCCUCCAGGGGGCCCAAGGAGUUCAUGGCCUGCUCAGGCACCCUCUGGUUAUGGAUCUAUGGGCUAUGGGAAUACUCCUCCAUGGGGUGCUCCAAGUGGUGGUGCUGGCUCUGGUGGAAGUGGUCCUGGUUCAGCAGCUGCAGGUCAGUCCCCUGGUGGAGCUGCCGGAUAUGGGAACCAAGGUUAUGGAUAUGGGGGAUACGGUGGAUACGGUGGAAGUGAUAGUUCUUAUGCGAAUUCAAGUGCAUAUGGCACUGUUGGUGGACGAACAGGGAGUGCUCCAAACAAUAGUGCUAGUGGUCCUGGUGGGGGUGAACUAACAAGUAGUGGUGGCAGUGGUAGCUAUAUGAGUGGUGGCUAUGGGGAUGCAAAUGGAAAUUCAGGUUAUGGAAAUGCAGCUUGGAGAUCAGAACAAACUGGAAAUUAUGGAACUCCACAGGGAAAUGGUGGCCAGGUUGGUUACGGUGGUGGCUAUGGUGGUGCUCAGUCUCGACAAGCCCAACAACAGUAAUUUUGAUAGUUGGAUAUCUUGCUGGAUUUUGAAAUUCAACUUGAGGAUCCUUUGCCUUUUAAAAAUUUUAAAUCAUGAGGUCAGAAUGAAUUUUUCCAGCAGCAAAGGAGUGGCUCAAAGAUCGAUGUCAAUACACAAUGGGACUGGAGGAGAGGUGCACGAGUAUGGAAGUGGUGGAGCCAAGUGUCCACCCGUAUCUAAAGAAUGAAAUUUGGCCAGUCUUAUUGUGUUUUUCUGGACCAACGCAUCACCAAAUUGGAGAUUUCUGGCUUUGUGAGAAAAAUUUCCUUAACUUUCCAUCUGGUCUGUGGUGGCGGAAAGAUAGAGAGAGUUAGCAGCACAUUGACUAUUUCAGUUGGCCUAGGCCCUAUUCUAUAGAAUUUUAUCCUAUCCUAUCUUGUGUGUCCAGUGAUUUAUGUUUUUUAUGUGUUGGAGCUCAGUAUAAUUUCAUGUCUAAGUUGGAAAAUUUUUAAUCUUUUCUUCUCUAAACUAAUGUUGUUUUAUAGGGCAAGUGCUUUAUCUUACACCCAAAGGUUAAAUAGCCAUUUCAUUUUCAUUUAUAACAGUAACUCUUAUUCAAAUGUAAAUUUAAAGUAAGAUAAGAGUUACCAACUCAAUUUUACAUCAAGCAUUGUCAGGUAUAGAAUUGAAAUGCUUUAAUGCUAGUUAA